AUAAUGUCGACCCGGCGGAUCUCGUCGGGGGCUUCGAUUUCGAUCUGCAGGGCGGGCGGUGAGCCGACGGGGGCCUCGAUCUGCUGGCCCAUGGUGAAACGUCCGUCGGCAGUGACCUUGAGGAGGAUCUCGUCACUCGCGGCGUAGGUGCGGCGGGCCAGCAUGGCAUCGAGGAUCUUCUCACGGGUGGGGCUCUCCACCCAGACGCAUCCCCAACUAUUGUGGGUCGAGCGAUGAUCGCUGAAACUGACGAAUCCGUAGACGUUUCCGCGUUCGAGGGCGUCUUGGGCGAAGUGUCCCGGUUCCUUGGU
rnacentral:rRNA from 1 species